rnacentral:lncRNA from 1 species
CAGGAACAUGUGGGUGCCUCAUUGGAGGGGACUCAGAAGGCAGGCCCUCCUCCUGGGCUGUCUUUUUUCCCUCCACCCCUCAGAUACCCCUUAUCCCAGAGUAUCAGUACCUCUGGCCCUGUCCAGGGGUGUCAAAUAGGGCACACUUGACUCCGCUGGAUGGAGCCAGAGGGACUGAGCAAGUGAAGGGUAUCAUCAUCCACUGGCUAGAAAAAUCAUGUACAAAGAUAAAACAGCAAUGACUUGCAGACCAGGUCUGCACUGUCCAUCCCGGAUCACCAAGCUUCGUCCUGGAUGCUUUCCUGUCUUUCCAAGCCCUGACGUCUAAUCUAUCUCCAAGUCAUGUUUGUUCUUCCUUCAAUAUUGGCUUGGAACUAUUCCCUUCCCUCUUCCUUGCCUCCAUCAUCUCAUUCAGAUACCAUCUCAGGCUGAGAAUACCUUUGUUUCUUCCACAUAUAACCAUGGGGCCACGACUGCACAGUGGGGACACCUGAAACACAGAGGUGAGCAAACCCGGCAGGCCUUCUCCCUCUCAGUGCUGGAUUUUACUGCAGCAGCCUCCUGCCUGGACUGGGGCCUCUACGCCCACACCACCGUCUCCCUGCCUUUGCCAGAAGGCUCUGACAGUGCCUCCCUGCCUGGACCUUUCACGGCCGCUGGGAUGAAGCCUGGGCACCAUAGACCGCCCAUCCUCCAUGUCCCCCACCUUCCUAGCCCCGGCCUACAAGCAGCCUUGCUCACCUCACUUGCCACCUGUCCCUUCCAGUGUGCCUAUGUGCCUUGGUCCCUGCUGUUCUCUCUGCAUGGCACUCUUCCACUCAGGUUUCAGCUGAAAUGGCACCUCCUCAGAGAUGCCUCCCUUUUUGCACCAUGUCCUCUACCCUGCCUUGUCCUUAUUUCUGGCCACACUGCUUGCCUGCCCCACCCUCCUACCCUCACCAAACACACCACCAGUGGUUCUGAGUUGCCUCCAGCCUGGAUGUUCCUCCUCUGCAUCCAACUGCCCUGGGCAUGGAGACACCCAUCCAUGUUUUAAAGAUUCAUCCUUAUUGAUAUGGAUACCUGUAAAUACUUCAUUGUUUGAGCAUACCAUGCACUAUUUAUUCAUACAGAGACCUGUGCUUUCUGACACAAAAAAUGGCAAAGGAGACAACAAAGCAACAUAUGUAGAAUUAUUCCUCUUUCGUAAAAAGUGGAUGUAUAUGCAUACUUUUGUUUUGAGACAGGGAUCUUUCUAUGAUGCCCAGGCUGGAUUCAAACUCUUGGGCUCAAGCAAUCCCCCUGUCUCAGCCUUCUCAGUAGUUGGAACUGCAUCCAGGUGCUGCCUAACAUACAUGUUUUAUAUACAUACCUACACACCCGCUUUGGAAGGCUGUGACACUGCAGAUCUCCUGCUCCGCAAUAGUGUGAUUAAACCUAAUCUGAAAUCAAAUAUCUUGGCCUUGAAAGAGUCAGAUGCUUUCUCAAAACAUUUGCUAACUCUUGGGAUUAAUUUCCUUUUGCUCCUCCCUGCCUUCAUAUUUCUACCUUUUGAUGUGCUACCUCACUCAUGUUCAAUGCCAAGAAAUUCAAAAUGCGCAUCAAUUCUUGUACCCAAACAUUUCAUGAAUUUAGUAAUUUUAUUAAAGUGACCCGAGAGACUCAUGGGGAAAAGGUCCCAUUUUCAAACACACCCCCUCUACCACCGUUACUGGCUUCACACCCAUCCUAUUCUUAAAAACUUCACUCAUUACUCUGGGCAACAGAAAAUUUAUUUUCACUGCCCCACACAGAAUAAGUCUGCUCGGUUCAGGAUCUCUCAGUGUUUUAUCUUUUACCUUAAGAUUUAUCAAAUAUUUUACUUCCUCAUGUAUAAUACUUUAGAGAAAUUUUGAUAGAUAAAAGUAUCUACCCUUUUUACACAACACAAUGAAUGAUGGGACUAUAGGUGAUUAAAAAAAUCUUUAUUAUACAUUUCUGUAAUGGAACAAUAAAAAACGUGUUUCACAUUUAUAAUUGUAAUCUCUCACAACUUCUGUUUGUGAAAAAAAUUUAUAAUUAGAAAAGAUAACACAUUUAUAUUUUAGAAAAAAUGCUAUGAAG